UACGUAAGGAGCGAGCGUUGUCCGGAAUCAUUGGGCGUAAAGGGAACGCAGGCGGUUUUUUAAGUUAGAUGUGAAAGCCCACGGCUUAACCGUGGAAUGGCAUUUAAAACUGGGAAACUUGAGUACAGGAGGGGAAGGUGGAAUUCCAAGUGUAGCGGUGAAAUGCGUAGAUAUUUGGAGGAAUACCGGUGGCGAAGGCGACUUUCUGGGCAUUUACUGACGCUGAGGUACGAAAGCGUGGGGAGCAAACAGG
rnacentral:rRNA from 1 species